rnacentral:lncRNA from 1 species
CAGGCGUGUGGCACCUCCACUGAAAAUUUUGGUUAGGUCUAACCAUUAACAUGGAAUACUAAGUGCAUCCAACAAAUGGAUAUCUAGGCCCGAGUGUGGCUCGGCCAACUUGAUUAUUGAUCUGAAGGAACAUCAUGAUGGUCAUAUGAUGAAUGACAAUUCUAAUAUAUAAUAGACACCAAACAUGUUGCACCUCCAAUGCCUAUUUAGAAUACUGGACUCAUUAUCACGCACCUUAAUAGGAGACAAUGAUCAAGUUAUCUCAUAACUUUAUCACUUUAUGGACCUAAUAACUUAGAGGAUUUGAUUUCAUUGAUCAGAGAAUAAGAGAAGAAGUUGACCUGC